UUAAGUUAUUAAGGGCGCACGGUGGAUGCCUUGGCACUAGAAGCCGAUGAAGGACGUUACUAACGACGAUAUGCUUUGGGGAGCUGUAAGUAAGCUUUGAUCCAGAGAUUUCCGAAUGGGGAAACCCAGCAUGAGUUAUGUCAUGUUAUCGAUAUGUGAAUACAUAGCAUAUCAGAAGGCACACCCGGAGAACUGAAACAUCUUAGUACCCGGAGGAAGAGAAAGAAAAUUCGAUUCCCUUAGUAGCGGCGAGCGAAACGGGAAGAGCCCAAACCAACAAGCUUGCUUGUUGGGGUUGUAGGACACUCUAUACGGAGUUACAAAGGACGACAUUAGACGAAUCAUCUGGAAAGAUGAAUCAAAGAAGGUAAUAAUCCUGUAGUCGAAAAUGUUGUCUCUCUUGAGUGGAUCCUGAGUACGACGGAGCACGUGAAAUUCCGUUGGAAUCUGGGAGGACCAUCUCCUAAGGCUAAAUACUCUCUAGUGACCGAUAGUGAACCAGUACCGUGAGGGAAAGGUGAAAAGCACCCCGGAAGGGGAGUGAAAUAGAACCUGAAACCGUGUGCUUACAAGUAGUCAGAGCCCGUUAAUGGGUGAUGGCGUGCCUUUUGUAGAAUGAACCGGCGAGUUACGAUUUGAUGCAAGGUUAAGCAGUAAAUGUGGAGCCGUAGCGAAAGCGAGUCUGAAUAGGGCGUUUAGUAUUUGGUCGUAGACCCGAAACCAGGUGAUCUACCCUUGGUCAGGUUGAAGUUCAGGUAACACUGAAUGGAGGACCGAACCGACUUACGUUGAAAAGUGAGCGGAUGAACUGAGGGUAGCGGAGAAAUUCCAAUCGAACCUGGAGAUAGCUGGUUCUCUCCGAAAUAGCUUUAGGGCUAGCCUCAAGUGAUGAUUAUUGGAGGUAGAGCACUGUUUGGACGAGGGGCCCCUCUCGGGUUACCGAAUUCAGACAAACUCCGAAUGCCAAUUAAUUUAACUUGGGAGUCAGAACAUGGGUGAUAAGGUCCGUGUUCGAAAGGGAAACAGCCCAGACCACCAGCUAAGGUCCCAAAAUAUAUGUUAAGUGGAAAAGGAUGUGGCGUUGCCCAGACAACUAGGAUGUUGGCUUAGAAGCAGCCAUCAUUUAAAGAGUGCGUAAUAGCUCACUAGUCGAGUGACACUGCGCCGAAAAUGUACCGGGGCUAAACAUAUUACCGAAGCUGUGGAUUGUCCUUUGGACAAUGGUAGGAGAGCGUUCUAAGGGCGUUGAAGCAUGAUCGUAAGGACAUGUGGAGCGCUUAGAAGUGAGAAUGCCGGUGUGAGUAGCGAAAGACGGGUGAGAAUCCCGUCCACCGAUUGACUAAGGUUUCCAGAGGAAGGCUCGUCCGCUCUGGGUUAGUCGGGUCCUAAGCUGAGGCCGACAGGCGUAGGCGAUGGAUAACAGGUUGAUAUUCCUGUACCACCUAUAAUCGUUUUAAUCGAUGGGGGGACGCAGUAGGAUAGGCGAAGCGUGCGAUUGGAUUGCACGUCUAAGCAGUAAGGCUGAGUAUUAGGCAAAUCCGGUACUCAUUAAGGCUGAGCUGUGAUGGGGAGAAGACAUUGUGUCUUCGAGUCGUUGAUUUCACACUGCCGAGAAAAGCCUCUAGAUAGAAAAUAGGUGCCCGUACCGCAAACCGACACAGGUAGUCAAGAUGAGAAUUCUAAGGUGAGCGAGCGAACUCUCGUUAAGGAACUCGGCAAAAUGACCCCGUAACUUCGGGAGAAGGGGUGCUCUUUAGGGUUAACGCCCAGAAGAGCCGCAGUGAAUAGGCCCAAGCGACUGUUUAUCAAAAACACAGGUCUCUGCUAAACCGUAAGGUGAUGUAUAGGGGCUGACGCCUGCCCGGUGCUGGAAGGUUAAGAGGAGUGGUUAGCUUCUGCGAAGCUACGAAUCGAAGCCCCAGUAAACGGCGGCCGUAACUAUAACGGUCCUAAGGUAGCGAAAUUCCUUGUCGGGUAAGUUCCGACCCGCACGAAAGGCGUAACGAUUUGGGCACUGUCUCAACGAGAGACUCGGUGAAAUCAUAGUACCUGUGAAGAUGCAGGUUACCCGCGACAGGACGGAAAGACCCCGUGGAGCUUUACUGUAGCCUGAUAUUGAAAUUCGGCACAGCUUGUACAGGAUAGGUAGGAGCCUUUGAAACGUGAGCGCUAGCUUACGUGGAGGCGCUGGUGGGAUACUACCCUAGCUGUGUUGGCUUUCUAACCCGCACCACUUAUCGUGGUGGGAGACAGUGUCAGGCGGGCAGUUUGACUGGGGCGGUCGCCUCCUAAAAGGUAACGGAGGCGCUCAAAGGUUCCCUCAGAAUGGUUGGAAAUCAUUCAUAGAGUGUAAAGGCAUAAGGGAGCUUGACUGCGAGACCUACAAGUCGAGCAGGGUCGAAAGACGGACUUAGUGAUCCGGUGGUUCCGUAUGGAAGGGCCAUCGCUCAACGGAUAAAAGCUACCCCGGGGAUAACAGGCUUAUCUCCCCCAAGAGUUCACAUCGACGGGGAGGUUUGGCACCUCGAUGUCGGCUCAUCGCAUCCUGGGGCUGUAGUCGGUCCCAAGGGUUGGGCUGUUCGCCCAUUAAAGCGGUACGCGAGCUGGGUUCAGAACGUCGUGAGACAGUUCGGUCCCUAUCCGUCGUGGGCGUAGGAAAUUUGAGAGGAGCUGUCCUUAGUACGAGAGGACCGGGAUGGACAUACCUCUGGUGUACCAGUUGUCGUGCCAACGGCAUAGCUGGGUAGCUAUGUGUGGACGGGAUAAGUGCUGAAAGCAUCUAAGCAUGAAGCCCCCCUCAAGAUGAGAUUUCCCAACUUCGGUUAUAAGAUCCCUCAAAGAUGAUGAGGUUAAUAGGUUCGAGGUGGAAGCAUGGUGACAUGUGGA
rnacentral:rRNA from 1 species